UCCUGGUUAGCUCAUUUGGUUCAGCGUACUAUUGGAAAUGGAGAGGUCCCUGGUUCGACACCAGGACCUGGCG
rnacentral:tRNA from 1 species